UACGAAGGACCCGAGCGUUAUCCGGAUUUACUGGGUUUAAAGGGUGCGUAGGUGGACCUAUAAGUCAGUGGUGAAAUCCUGCAGCUUAACUUGCAGAAUCUGCCAUUUGAUACUGUUGGUCUUGAGUAUAGUUGAGGUAGGCGGAAUAUGUCAUGUAGUGGUGAAAUACUUAGAUAUGACAUAGAAACACCGAAUUGCGAAGGCAGCUUGCUAAAGCUAAUAACUGGACAA
rnacentral:rRNA from 1 species